rnacentral:rRNA from 1 species
UACGGAGUGUGCAAGCGUUACUCGGAAUCACUGGGCAUAAAGGGCGUGUAGGCGGGCUUUCAAGUCGGUUGUGAAAUCCCUCAGCUCAACUGAGGAACUGCAUCCGAUACUGUUUGUCUUGAGGACGAGAGGGGAGAGUGGAACUUCUGGUGGAGCGGUGAAAUGCGCAGAUAUCAGGAGGAACACCGGUGGCGAAGGCGGGUCUCUGGGCCGAUACUGACGCUGAGGAGCGAAAGCGUGGGGGAGCGAACAGG